rnacentral:rRNA from 1 species
GGACAUUACAGAGUUGCAAAACUCCCUAAACCAUUGUGAAGACCCUUAACCGUUGCUUCGGCGGGCGGCGCCAUGCCGCCCCUCGGCCCUUCCCGGGCGCCCGCCGGAGGAUACCCAACUCUUGAUAUUUUAUGGCCACUCUGAGUCUUCUGUACUGAAUAAGUCAAAACUUUCAACAACGGAUCUCUUGGUUCUGGCAUCGAUGAAGAACGCAGCGAAAUGCGAUAAGUAAUGUGAAUUGCAGAAUUCAGUGAAUCAUCGAAUCUUUGAACGCACAUUGCGCCCGCCAGUAUUCUGGCGGGCAUGCCUGUUCGAGCGUCAUUUCAACCAUCAAGCCCCCGGCUUGUGUUGGGGACCUGCGGCUGCCCGCAGGCCCUGAAAAACAGUGGCGGGCUCGCUGUCACACCGAGCGUAGUAGCAUCAUUCUCGCUCAGGGCGUGCUGCGGGUUCCGGCCGUUAAACGACCUUCAUAACCCAAGGUUGACCUCGGAUCAGGUAGGAAGACCCGCUGAACUUAAGCAUAUCAAUAAGCGGAGGAA